AUUGAACGCUGGCGGCAUGAUUUACACAUGCAAGUCGAACGGUAACAGGCCGCAAGGUGCUGACGAGUGGCGAACGGGUGAGUAAUGCAUCGGAACGUGCCCAGUCGUGGGGGAUAACUACUCGAAAGAGUAGCUAAUACCGCAUACGAUCUAUGGAUGAAAGCGGGGGACCGUAAGGCCUCGCGCGAUUGGAGCGGCCGAUGUCAGAUUAGGUAGUUGGUGGGGUAAAGGCUCACCAAGCCAACGAUCUGUAGCUGGUCUGAGAGGACGACCAGCCACACUGGGACUGAGACACGGCCCAGACUCCUACGGGAGGCAGCAGCGGGGAAUUUUGGACAAAGGGCGCAAGCCUGAUCCAGCAAUGCCGCGUGCAGGAAGAAGGCCUUCGGGUUGUAAACUGCUUUUGUACGGAACGAAACGGCUCUGGUUAAUACCCGGGGCUAAUGACGGUACCGGAAGAAUAAGCACCGGCUAACUACGUG
rnacentral:rRNA from 1 species